GGCACAUUCUAUCAGAAAGCCUGUAGGACCAACAGACAGUGAAGUUGGAGAAGGAGCUUUUAUAGAAGAUAAGGCCAAAACGAGUCAUUUUCUGCCUUCAGUGCAGAACGCAGUGACUAUGUCAAUCAGAAGUUGCCAGGAAUAAAAGCAGCAAACUGUAAGGUUUACUUGACUAUGGAAGGUUUUACAUUCAACAUCAAGAUAACAUCAUUUCAGCCAAGGAAUCACAAGAAUUACUUCAAAGCAAAACCGACUAUUGCCAGUGCUCUUUGAUUAAAUGCAUGUUGUUUCUUUAAAUAAGUCUUUAAUAACCAAGGUUCUGGAACACCUUUUAAUCAUGCCUUUGCAAAGCAACCAUAGAAAAGCAUAAA